CCUACGGGUGGCAGCAGUGAGGAAUAUUGGUCAAUGGACGCAAGUCUGAACCAGCCAUGCCGCGUGCGGGAAGACGGCUCUAUGAGUUGUAAACUGCUUUUGUACGAGGGUAAACGCAGAUACGCGUAUCUGUCUGAAAGUAUCUUACGAAUAAGGAUCGGCUAACUCCGUGCCAGCAGCCGCGGUAAUACGGAGGAUUCAAGCGUUAUCCGGAUUUAUUGGGUUUAAAGGGUGCGUAGGCGGGCGGAUAAGUUAGAGGUGAAAGUCCGAGGCUCAACUUCGGAAUUGCCGCUGAAACUGGGCGGCUAGAGAGUAGUUGCGGUAGGCGGAAUGUAUGGUGUAGCGGUGAAAUGCUUAGAGAUCAUACAGAACACCGAUUGCGAAGGCAGCUUACCAAGCUACUUCUGACGUUGAGGCACGAAAGCGUGGGGAGCAAACAGGAUUAGAUACCCUGGUAGUC
rnacentral:rRNA from 1 species